GGUGACAAGAGCGCUUUCUAGGGCAGUUGUGUGCUGUCUUCAGAGGCAGGAAGCCACUUCCUGUGGUCUCAAUGGUGCCCUGUGAAAAACCAGGCCCUGGCCCAGCAGCCAAGAGGGCCGGGAUAGGUUCACCCAGACCCAUUGUCCUAUGAGCAGAUUUGUUUUUUCCAGAGCAACUCUUCACAGCUUCUCCCCUUCCCUUGGUGACAAUGACAGCCAGCAAUGGCUAGACAGCCUACUCCCAGCCUGGCCUGAGUCCGGUGGCCCCAGCGUGAGAUCACCACAGUGAGGUCUGACCUCAGCAUCGCCAUGGGGAUGCUCGGAUGCCACGCUGCCUCAACCUGGUCUCCAUAGCAACCAGCUGUGACAUCACAAGGAACCCACGGACCCUGUAGCUGGAGCAGAGGAAGCUUGAAUGCCUGUUUGGGGAAGAAAGCCUUUGCUGCCCAUCCUUAGGCCUCUCCUGUGAUAGGGGAAGAGGACAUAGAAACGCUGAGAGAGCCAGGGCCUCCGCUUCUCUGGAGGUUUGAGCGGGAUCUACUCAAAAUCCUUCCCUCCCUUUCUUUGUCCCCUUUCUCCUCAUCCCUCAAAAAAUAUGUAUCUUAGUUUCCUCAACUGUAAAAUGGGGAUAUUAGAAGCCCCUCUUAAUUGAGUAUUUAUUAUGUGCCAGGCACUAUUACAAGCAUCUUGCAUGAAUUUUCUCAUUUACUUCAUAACAACCCUAUAAAGUACUUUCUUCUUAGUAUUCCCCCUUCUGUAAGUGGAAGGAAAGGAAGCACAGCAGAAGGAUUGGAAUCAAGACAGCCUGGCUCCAGAGCCUGUUUUCAUAACUACGAGAGAAUGCACCAGAUUCCUUCUGAACGCCGCCUGCCGCGUGCACGGCUACAACUCUAUUUCCAGCCAUGCUGUGGCAAGCAGUUCCGGGCGGGCUUCAGCUCCCUUUGCACCACCAGCACCUCGCCUCCUGUCAGCAUGAGGCAGUUUUCAUUUUCUGCCCAGGGGCUUCCGCAGCGCCCCAACACAAGGUUGGCAGAAGCGGGCUCAGCCGGAGGACUUGUGGAGGGAAGUUGCUUCCACUGAGCCAGCCUCAAUCUGGGGUGCACAGGCGCCACCAGGUGAAUGCUUCUGCCAGGCCGUCAUCUGACCCAUAAGGUCCCUCUGUGCACUGCUUGGAAGGUCCUGGCAGGGCUGAGCCCCAGCCACCCACGGCAGUGACCUAAUAAUGCACCGUUAUCUUGGCUCUUCUGCUCUCUCUUGUUUCCCACUCCUGUUCGUCCCUCAUUUCUGGUCCCUAGAAUGACUUCCAAAAUAAACUCCCUGUACACA
rnacentral:lncRNA from 1 species